AGAUGCUCUGGUCCCAGCAGAAGUGACUGGCGGGGACCAGGAUGCUGGAGGGUCAGCUCGAGGCCGGGUAGCCCAAGGAGGGCACCCACCCAGAAGACCCGUGCCCGGGAGCUGGGGCUGCCAUGGAGAAGACACCUGCAGCAGCCGAGGUCCCCAGGGAGGACAGCAAUGCCGGGGAGAUGCCGUCAUUACAGCAGCAGAUCACCAGCCUCCACCAAGAGCUCGGGAGACAGCAGUCGCUGUGGGCUGAUAUUCACAGAAAACUCCAGAGUCAUAUGGAUGCCUUGAGGAAGCAGAACCGGGAGCUCCGAGAAGAGCUGAGAGGCCUGCAGCGGCAGCAGUGGGAAGCCGGGAAGAAACCCGCAGCGUCCCCACACGCGGGGCGAGAAUCACACACUCUGGCAUUGGAACCUGCUUUUGGAAAAAUUUCACAUCUGUCAGCUGAUGAAGACACAACGCCCAAAUACGCUGGCCGCAAGAGUCAGAGUGCCACUCUCCUGGGACAAAGAUGGUCAUCUAACCACUUAGCUCCUCCAAAGAUUAUGCAUCCAUCUUCCCGAAGUCCGCAAAACUCCGGUGGCAGAAAAUCACCAGUGCAGGCUUCCCAGGCCACCACGCUGCAGGAGCAGACGGCAGCAGCCAGAGGAGCUGACAGAAGCUCAUCAGUCUUAGGGAGUUCUGAAGGCGGAUUUCUCAGCCGCGUUCAAGCUGACGAGUUCGCCAGUUCUGCCCCAGACAGUGCAGAGCGGCAGAAUCUUCCUGUAAACCCACCAUCUUCCCUGGAAAUAGCACAGGCCAUGGACACUAAGAUGAAAAAGGAGGAAGUACAGGAAGAAAAACGACAUCCAAAGGGCAAGGCAGAUGACUGCCGGCGGUCCGGUUUCCCGAGUGAAUUUCCAGGAGCUCUGCACGCCGCUCCCUCCAGACAGGACAUGGGGCCCUGACCUGGAGGCCAGGCGUUUCUAGCAUUGUUGACUGCCAGUUUAUUCCCAGUAAAUAAAGCAAUACGCUUUUCAGGAGGAAGAUUUGUUUUAAAUACUUAAAAAAAAACCCAAAACUAUAGCCUCAAAUAUCUUCCAGCCACCACAUUUUAGCCCUUGAGGAGAGCUCAGUUCCGGAAGGACGCGUCAAGGUGGCGGUGGUCG
ensembl:lncRNA TCP10L3 t-complex 10 like 3 (pseudogene)